AAAAUUAAAUAAUAAAUAUAUAUAUAUUAUAUAUAUAAUUAUUUAUUUAUAUAUAUAAAUAUAAAUUAAAUAAAUUAUAUAAAUAUAAAAUAUAUGUAUUCGAGCUGUUAUCGAGGCAAACACGAGCGAGUUGAUCCAAACUCGUGUUAGGCUCGUUUACUAAACGAGCGAUUCGAUCUCGAGCUCAUUUUGAAUUGAACACGAGCUGGCUCGCGAACAGCGAGUUGGAUU
rnacentral:lncRNA from 1 species